GAGGGUAUAGCUCAGUGGUAGAGUGUGUGCUUAGCAUCACAAGGUCCUGGGUUCAAUCCCCAGCACCUCCA
rnacentral:tRNA from 1 species